AGGACCCUCCUGAAGAAUGGGACAGGACCCUCCUGAAGAAUGAGAUGUUAUUUUUCUAUUUCACCUUUUAUGUUGAGUUCAGGAACAUAUUUGAAAAAUCAGAAAUAGAAAGUCCAGGAGCCCGCCUGAAGAGCAAGGUGGAUAAAUGAGAAAGUUUAGGAGCCCGCCUGAAGAACAGGGUAAAGAAAUUGUAAGUCAAGGAGCCUUCCUGAAGAAUAGGGUGGACAUUAUCAGUUGCAAGUUAGGAGCCUGCCUGAAGAAUCGGUUGAAGAUUUUCAAAUCCAAGCCAAAAGAAAAGCUGAAGAAUAAAUCAAUUGUCAAGUUCCCCUCUAAUACCAACAAGGAGGAACAUUUAGUGUAUCAAAUUCAACUCAGAAUAACGACUAUCUCACUAUUUGAGAAGUCAUGAAGAUUCAAGUCAAGAUUCCAGAAAAGAUGAGCAAUAGAUAGGAUCUUUCACUUGUAUCUUCAUUUUCAUUUUUUAUUUUUUAUUUGGAUGUAAAAAGCAGAAGUCGCAAACCGAAGACUCGAUGGAACCUGACUCGAACUCUAGCUCAUUGUCUCCCUAUUUUGCCUUUUUGAACUACACAUGACCUGAUUCCCUUAUCACCUGGGAUAUGUAGGUUGUCCAAAACUAGGACUCGGUCACAUUUUUUUUUCUUUCUUUUAUAUUCUUUUUGAAUAAUUGGAAAAUCAAAAAUCAUAUCUUUGUCUACUUCUUUGUAUGAAAACUUUUUG
rnacentral:lncRNA from 1 species